CUAUCUAUACUAUAAGGGACCAAUUAAAAUUAUACUAGGUCUACUCCCGACUUCUAUCCACACAGUCAUAACUUUUUCUAUAUACACUCCAAAACGUGUACCCAGAAAUGUAACACCGUUAAAAUCAAUGGCUAUUAGACCUUUCGUAGACGCUUCAACGUGAUCUGGUGGUCAGUGUUAUUUGGAUCAUCCUAUGCUUGCGUUGAAGCCUCCCUCGCGUUGAAGCCUCGAGAGUCAAGACCGCGCCUAUCCACCACGGUUCCCCGCUGCUGCUCGCCGUCCAUCUUCAGCCCGUGCGGCGGCCCAUCAGGCUGCCCAGAUGACUACAAGGUGGAGUAGCGUUCUGGGUCCGAGGCCGGCGGAGAUGGAGGCGGAGGCGAGGGCCAGAGCUGGGACCUGUAACACACGGCGACGAUGGCGAGGACAGGCCGUGGAGGAGGACAUGUGCCUUGGCAUGAUGUUUGUGGAGGAGAUGCUCAUGGAGCAGGAGGAGCAGGGCACCAGGGGGCCAUGUUCCGCAUCUCCAAGUUGCGAGGGGCGGCGCCGUGGGAGGUCACGCGGGGCCACCGCCGCUUCACGUUUGUUCUCCUCCACCUAUCACCCCUCCAGCCCUCAUCGAUCUUGUCUUGCUAGGCUUCUGUUCUUUCCCAAGAGCUAAUGACUUUCCCGUCUGUGCUUGGUGGCCAGAGUAUGGCCACCUGUCCGCGACCAAGGUGUUCAAUUUAUUGCCUAGCAGGUGGUACUUCUUGCCAGAGUGUGUUUCCUUCAUUUUUAUAGACUAUGUGUCAUUGUUUUGGCAGUGUUUCUUUGGGGACCGUUUCUUUUCUGAAUAGUGUCAAGCCCAGUAGCGAUCGUUUUCUUCGCUUGAAUACGUUCUUGCUGAAUGAGGUUGCUCAUCAGAAUUUGCUUCCUAUUGCACAUACGUAGUAGUCCUUUUAAGAGCAAGCUAAGUAGACAAAGCAAAUACACAAGUAAUAAAAUAACCCUUGAGUAGCCUUCAGGUUGGCUAAAUCUGUUCUUUGCUACUUUGAAUAGGAUAAACCGAAGAACCAUUAUAGACAUGGAUUAUGAAUGCGAUGUAAAAUUCAUCUUAUUGAAUCUUUCUGUUAGGCUGGUACCUGAUACCUGCUGGAUGCUAUUAUAGUAUCUUGGCAUCAACUAAUAUAUAAUUUUUUAUUUAAAUGUUCUUGUAGGAAUAUUAGAAGGAAUUAGUUAGAUGGUGGGUAAAUGUUAUUGCAGGCGAGACAAUUAGUUUGACAGUUUUUCUUUUGUUGCUUAUCAGACUGCACAAGAUAAUAUUGAUCUUCAGACGAACAUUCUUUCUAGAUUUGAUCUAAUCUUAAUCGUCAAAGAUAAAAUUCUUUCUACAACUUUUCUAUUCUAGCAGCUGAGAGACUAAGUGCAACUUCAAAAUACAGCGAAUAGCAAGCCACAUCAAGGUGCAUGCCCGUUGUGCUGCAACUUACACUGAGGCAAUCGAAAGAGAGAAUUGGCUGAAAAGGUCUGACCUGUGUGGUGCUUGUAUGUUGUAAAUUUGAUUUUAUUUCCUUGUCUUCUACUACAUAGCCUCUUUAGGUAAAGCCAAUUUUUUUGAUUUCCUGUAUAGCCUUUUUUAGAGUGCACCUUUGCGUUCUAAAAUGAAGAUUGAUUUCAGUGGCUUUUGAAAAACAAAAGAAUUUUGUAAAACCAAAGUAUUUCUCCAAUACUUAAAAAUGCUUUACAUCCAAACAGGGUUACAUGUAUUACUUUUCUGAAUAAUAUGGCUAUUGAUUUGACUUUUAAUUUGGACAAAAGAAAAAAUCAUAGAUCAAUUUGAUUUUUUAGUUGACAAGUAUACUUGGGAUUUGUUGUGGACACUUUAACUUAAUUCCUUGUUGGGUUGCUGGUAUUUGGUCAAAUGGAGCAUUUGGGGCUUCUAGCACUUUAACUUAAUUUCUUGAUAAGUCACAGAUAACUGGUCAUGGUUUCCAUCGUCACAUCAAAACAUUGAAGAAGGUUGGAGGCUUUUGUUGCCUAAUUCUGGCAAAAUGCAUAGUGUACCUUAUCUAUAUGAAUUUUAGGCAUUGUGAGAUUUUUCUUAUCACUUUUCUUGUCAGACUUAGCACUUGUAAUUCAGUGUACAACAAUAUGAUUUAUAUUUGACAAGAAAAUCUAUGUUUGGCAAUCUAA